UGUUGUGAUUUGUUUACUAACCCAAGUGCUGUUAUACUAAAGUAGGCCUACUGUAUAAGAUAAACACUUAUUUCUGUAAUCUGUAACUGUAAUUAGAAAAAAGAAUUAUGCUGUACAGUAAUAUACAAAUGAUGCGUUUGAAAAAACGAUUGCAGAAGUCUAAACUAGUCAACGUAUCACAGGGAAAUGUUUACACAAAGUUUGCUCGAGCUGCCAUCGCACUAGGACCAUGGGUCCUUCCCCCUCCAAACGGAAACAGGUGGGCGGUGCAGCGAGCGCAAUGCACUGUGGUAGUUGGAGGAUUUCUUACUUUUGAGCCACAGAGACACUUUCUGCCUUUUCUCAGGCUAGGAUGAACCGGUUUCAAUUUUUUUUUCAUAUAACCUUCAUAUCUCCACCGGUGAAGUAUCCCUUUAAUAAUCCCACAUAAUUUGAGUUACAUGAAUCAAGCACCUCAUAAAGCAUGAAGGAACACAAAGGGCGGGACUGCACCAUGUUCACAAGGCCAAGAUGGGCCGGCGUCUCCUCAAGGGUACGCGCCCCAACCGUCCAUCCCUUCAGACUGCUGGGACUAGUCAUGUCCGCCUCGGCACCGGGGGAGCUGUUCACUGAGGAGGACCUGGCCCUUAAAAACAUCAGGCAGUGCAACUCCUUGACCGAACAGAGAAGGCACGGAAGCAGCUUGAAGACUACAGAGGUCUACCUGCAUAGCAGCCCUCUACGGUCCUGCUGGGUGGUGGUGGGAGAGGAGAGGGGCCUUCCCCAUCUUGUUUGACCUGGCCAGUAUUUAUACACGUCCCCUGGCAUCCUCCACUCCAGAGGAACAAAUAUGUUCAACUCCAGGAAACAGCAAGCCUUGCCUAAGAAUUAUAAUUUUUCUUCAGAACUUUUGACUGCCUGAAUAACACUUCAUUGUACAGUGUUGUACUUAUUUAAUAAAUAUGUUAAUAAUUUGAA